UACGGAGGGUGCAAGCGUUGUUCGGAAUUACUGGGCGUAAAGCGCACGUAGGCGGCACUGUAAGUUGGGGGUGAAAUCCCGGAGCUCAACUCCGGAACUGCCUUCAAGACUGCAGAGCUGGAGGAUGCGAGAGGUGAGUGGAAUUCCGAGUGUAGAGGUGAAAUUCGUAGAUAUUCGGAAGAACACCAGUGGCGAGGGCGGCUCACUGGCGCAUUUCUGACGCUGAGGUGCGAAAGCGUGGGGAGCAAACAGG
rnacentral:rRNA from 1 species